CAGCCCCUCGAGUGGUGGGGAUGAUUAUUUGGCCUAAAGCGUCCGUAGCCGGCCGAGCAAGUCUUCCGUUAAAUCCAGCGUCUCAAGCGUUGGACUGCGGGAGAUACUACAUGGCUAGAGAGUGGGAGAGGUCAGCGGUAUUCUGGGGGUAGGGGCGAAAUCCUUUGAUCCCCGGAGGACCACCAGUGGCGAAGGCUGCUGACUAGAACACGUCUGACGGUCAGGGAUGAAAGCUGGGGUAGCGAACCGGAUUAGAUACCCGAGUAGUCC
rnacentral:rRNA from 1 species